rnacentral:rRNA from 1 species
CCUACGGGGGGCAGCAGUGGGGAAUAUUGCACAAUGGGGGGAACCCUGAUGCAGCAACGCCGCGUGGGUGAAGAAGUACUCCGGUAUGUAAAGCCCUGUCAGCAGGGAAGAAAAUGACGGUACCUGACCAAGAAGCCCCGGCUAACUACGUGCCAGCAGCCGCGGUAAUAAGUAGGGGGCAAGCGUUAUCCGGAUUUACUGGGAGUAAAGGGAGCGUAGACGGGAAGGCAAGUCUGGAGUGAAAGCCCGGGGCCCAACCACGGGACUGCUUUGGAAACUGUGUUGCUGGAGUGCAGGAGGGGUAUGCGGAAUGCCUGGUGUAGCGGUGAAAUGCGUAGAUAUUAGGAAGAACACCGAUGGCGAAGGCGGCUUACUGGACUGUAACUGACGUUGAGGCUCGAAGGCGUGGGGAGCGAACAGGAUUAGAUACCCUUGUAGUC